rnacentral:rRNA from 1 species
UACGUAGGGGGCUAGCGUUGUUCGGAUUUAUUGGGCGUAAAGAGCGCGUAGGCGGCCAGGUAGGUCUGGUGUGAAAACUCGAGGCUUAACCUCGAGAUGUCAUCGGAAACCAUCUGGCUAGAGUCCGGAAGAGGAGAGUGGAAUUCCUGGUGUAGCGGUGAAAUGCGCAGAUAUCAGGAAGAACACCAAUGGCGAAAGCAGCUCUCUGGGACGGUACUGACGCUGAGACGCGAAAGCGUGGGGAGCGAACAGG